AACGAACGCUGGCGGCAUGCCUAACACAUGCAAGUCGAACGAGACCUUCGGGUCUAGUGGCGCACGGGUGCGUAACGCGUGGGAACCUGCCCUUAGGUUCGGAAUAACUCCCCGAAAGGGGUGCUAAUACCGGCUAUUGUCUUCGGACCAAAGAGUUAUCGCCUUUGGAUGGGCCCGCGUUGGAUUAGCUAGUUGGUAGGGUAAAAGCCUACCAAGGCGACGAUCCAUAGCUGGUCAGAGAGGAUGAUCAGCCACACUGGGACUGAGACACGGCCCAGACUCCUACGGGAGGCAGCAGUGGGGAAUAUUGGACAAUGGGCGAGAGUCUAAUCCAGCAAUGCCGUGUGAGGGAUGAAGGCCUUAGGGUUGUAAAGCUAUUUUAACCGGGAUGAUAAUGACAGUACCGGGAGAAUAAGCUCCGGCUAACUCCGUG
rnacentral:rRNA from 1 species